AUUUUGGCUUGAAUAAUACAGCUAAAAUAUUAAAAGUUAUGAUCUCUAAAUUUAAAGGAUUUGGCGGUAAUUUAGUCCAGUUAGAGGAACCUGUUAAGUAAACGAUACACCACGAAAAAUCUUACCUGCUUUCAGUUUGUAUACCGUCAUUAGCAGAUAACUUUACAAAAAUUAGUUAUUUAACAAAAAUCUUCUUUAAAUAUUAGAUCAAGGUGCAGCGUAUAAGCUAGGGUUAUAAUGGGUUACAAUAAUAUUUUAUUAAAUUACGAAUAUAAAUGUUAAAUUGUUUAUUGAAGGAGGAUUUAAUAGUAAGAAUAGUUUAAUAAGCUAGUUUGAUAAUGGAUCUAAAUUGUGUACAUAUCGCCCGUCGCUUUCAUUACAAAAUGAAAUAAGUCGUAACAUAG
rnacentral:rRNA from 1 species